UUCCUUAUUCAAUAUGUUAAAAUAAAAAAAAAGUAAACAAAUAAAGUCAACAUUUGACAGUUACUUAAAAUGUUAAUGUAUGCGUAGCAUAUAUUAUGUGAGGUACAUUGCUCACCAAGCAAGGGUUAAAUAAAUCAAUAAUAGGUAGGCGUGACAACAUAUUGUAAACGCAAUUCAAUACUCACAAAUAUUCGUUUUGCUUCCGUCGUCGAGGCGUGGCGAGGCGGAGGGCAGAGUGAGGCAAACAGAGACAGAAAAAAGAAAACAAGAAAAGACAAUAAUAAUCGACACCUAGCACAGUUGAUUGACUUUGAGGGCAAUCGGUGAGGCCGACUCAGACUUGGGUUGCUAUGCCAAAUGUUUCGUGCGGACAGAACGCAAAAGAUAAAAUGUUUCGUACAGUCGAGUGACGAGUUUUGACUUGUCUCGUAAUUGAUUAAAUCUGAUUCGCAAUUCCAGUGCAGCCGGCCAUAAUCCAAUGGCAGAGACAUGUUAUGUGAUUGCAUUUCAUAAGCAAUUUGCGACAUUCGGAGUGGGCCACGAAAUACGAAUUUCGAAAUACGAAAAACGAGAAACGAGAAACAUGAAACAAGAAACGAAAAACAUUUAACAAUAAAUUAUUUAUGGUUCUUUUUUAAGAGCUGCCUGGCUGCUCA